rnacentral:rRNA from 1 species
UACGUAGGGUGCAAGCGUUGUCCGGAAUUAUUGGGCGUAAAGAGCUCGUAGGCGGUCUGUCGCGUCGGCUGUGAAAACUCGGGGGCUCAACCCCCGAGCCUGCAGUCGAUACGGGCAGACUAGAGUGCGGUAGGGGAGACUGGAAUUCCUGGUGUAGCGGUGAAAUGCGCAGAUAUCAGGAGGAACACCGGUGGCGAAGGCGGGUCUCUGGGCCGUAACUGACGCUGAGGAGCGAAAGCGUGGGGAGCAAACAGG